CCCCCCCCCAAAAAAAAUUCCANNNNAGCUUUGUUACUGUUCAUCCGACNAGUUUUUGGGCCGCCAUCUCCUCCUCCGGCCACCCCAAGCGACGACAUGGGUAUCAAAAGAACCAGCACGUUGUCCUCUACUAGCCUCACAUCUCAGCCACUGCCAACUGCCUUCUGGAUCGCCGAAAAAACAAGAAAUUGGCUGGUUUUUACCCAAAAUCUCCAUCCUCGUUCGGGCAAUUCCGAGCACCAUUUGCUUCACUCCAGGUAUAAUUUUUCAACCUCUCUGUUCUUGCUGCUAGUUGUGUUGGUUAGGAGAAAUUUCUGAGUUUUGGAGGAUAAAUAAGCGAUGAACAGUAACAAAGGGGAGGGGCUGCUAUUCUAGAAUGGGGGGAGGGGGAAGGAGGAGAAAAAAAGAAGAAAAAAGGAAGUGGGGCCCAACAUU
rnacentral:lncRNA from 1 species